rnacentral:rRNA from 1 species
GACGUAGGUGGCGAACGUUAUCCGGAUUUAUUGGGCGUAAAGAGCGUGUAGGCGGCUUUACAGGUCCGUUGUGAAAACUCGAGGCUCAACCUCGAGACGCCGGUGGAAACCGUAAGGCUAGAGUCCGGAAGAGGAGAGUGGAAUUCCUGGUGUAGCGGUGAAAUGCGCAGAUAUCAGGAGGAACACCCGUGGCGAAAGCGGCUCUCUGGGACGGUACUGACGCUGAGACGCGAAAGCGUGGGGAGCAAACAGG